ensembl:lncRNA
GCAGGUAAGAUUUUGUUUCUUUAAUUGUUUUUGGAGACAGGGUCUUGAUCUGUUGCCCAGACUGGAGUGCAAUGGUCCAAACAUAGCUUACUGCAGCCUCAAACUCCUGGGCUCAAGUGAUCCUCCUGCCCCAGCCUCCCAAGUAGCUAGGACUACAUGUGCACACGACCACAUCUGACUAAUUUUUAAAAAAACUUUUUGUAGAGACAAGGUCUCACUAUGUUGCCCAGGCUGGUCUCAAACUCCUGGCCUCAGGUGAUCCUCCCACUUUGGCCUCCCAAAGCACUGGGAUUACAGGCAUGAGCCACUGCACCCAGCGUGUUUGUUUUUUAAGGACAAAAUAAUUUCAGCAUGUUCGAAAGCUAUGGAAAAAGAACCAGAGAAAGGAGUAGAUUAAGGAAGUAAGAAAGAAUGUUUGCUGCAGCAAGAUUCUAAGGCUUCAGAGUAGCAAUAUCUAGUCUAGAGAUUGCUGUUCUUCAGAUGCACACCUUUUCUGUUAUCCCUGAAUGUUGGUAAAAUCAUGUGAAACUUCACAGUCUGGGUUCAGUCUUGCUGUGGGGAGGGAAGGGAAAGAAAGGGCUGGUUCACUUCUGGCCUGGAAGAGUAGGGGGAGCAAUGUCUCCUAUAGCUAGGGCAUGGCCUAUGCCAGCCUCCCCCAUCUGAUGGGGUCCUGCCAGAGGGGAGGGCCAUGUCUUCAAUUUCUCUGCCUUACCCUACAUGGCAAAAACAUAACCUGCAAACCAGAAUGUCAGUGCUAGGGCCUAGGCCAAACAAUAGUUUUCCUGUAGGAAUGGGGAGUAUGUGUGGAUGUAUAGCAGGGGGUGAGGCUUUUGUGCAAUUCAGCUUCACCAGGCUUGAAGAAGAUGCAGUGAGGACAGUCAGGACUUGAGUAUGAGAGUGGGACCUGGGUAUGAGUGUGGAAGUCCAUCUUAGAACCUUAGAAUUCAAUGCUCUGAGGUAAAGCUGAGAGGCUCCACAGGUCUACGAGGGUUUUUCUUUGUUUCUCAGGGACUGUAAGGUGCUCAAAUUCUGAGGUAGGUGCCAUAGGAAUAUUCCUCAUAGCACAAGCGUUAUGUCAGACAAUGCUCUGCUUAUCUAUUAGUGAGUAACAAAUCUCUCUAAAACUUAAGAGGCUUAAAAUAACAUAAAUCAUAAUUUAUGAAAAAUUAUAAAUAAUUCAUCAUUUAAGGGUUAAAUGAUAAAUGAGUUAUUUCUCAUUUUGGAUAAGUCAGUUAGGAAAGACCUGUUACUGUUGUGGGUAACAUGGAACGGCCCAGAUGGUUGGAAUAACCCAACCCAGACAACUUUUUCACUCAAUGACUGAUCCCUUAGCUAGGAUGGCUCCACCAGCCUAGUGGCCCAGCUCUCCCUCUCCAAGUCCAAGUGGUCUCUGCACGUGGUUUCUCUACAGCAGGGUGGCUAAAGGGCAGCAGCUCAUGACCACCAACAGCUCAAAAUCAACGAUGCCAGGUCUUUUUUUUUUUGAGAUGGAGUCUUGCUCUGUCCCCCAGGCUAGAGUGCAGUGGCGUGAUCUCGGGUCACUGCAACCUCUGCCUCCCGGAUUCAAGCGACUCUCCUGAGUAGCUGGGAUUACAGGUGCGUGCCACCACGCCCGGCUAAUUUUGUAUUUUUAGUAGAGACAGGAUUUCACCAUGUUGGUCAGGGUGGUCUCGAACUCCUGACCUCGUGAUCUGCCCACCUCAGCCUCCCAAGGUGCUGGGAUUACAGACGUGAGCCACCGUGCCCGGCCAAGUUUGCCAGAUCUUUUUUAAGCUGAGAGUUAGAACCAAGACAUUGCCACUCCUACCACCUUCUUCUGUUGGUGAAGCUGAAUCACGGUUUCUUAUGGUCUCAAUCAUGACCCAGUCCAGAUUCCAGGGUCAAAACCAUAAAAGGCUACAUUGAUGGAAGACAUGUCUCAUUGAGGGACGCCAGAGUAACAACUACCAGACAAGAAGGGGCAGGUCUAUGGGAGCCCCAGUUCCUAAUUCUAUGUUGCCCUCUCUUCAGAGAAGAUGGUUGGAGGGCAAAUUGUGGGGAGCAAGGUAACUCCAAACUUUUACAGAAUUAAAGGUAGGGGGUCUGGUCAGCUACAGUCCGUCUGUUAUCAAGAGGCCUGGCUGUGUGUCUUCAGUCUAUUAGGCAUUUACUGAGCACAGCCUACAUACCAGGUUCUUCAUUUUCUGACACAGGGUCUUGUUUUGUUGCCCAGGCUGGAGUGCAGUGCUGCGACUGCAGCUCACUGCAGCCUUGACCUCUCCAAGCUCAAGCGAUCCUCCUGCCUCAGCCUCUCGAGUAGCUGGGGCUACAGGCGCGCACCACCACGCUCGGAUAAUUUUUCUGUUUUUGGUAGAGACAGGGUCUCACCCUGUUGGCCAGGCUGGUCUCGGAUCCCAGAGCUCAAGUGAUCCGCCUGCCUCGGUUUCCCAAAGUGCUGGGAUUACAGGCGUAAGCCUCCGCGCCCGGCCUAUGCCCAGUUCUACAUGUGUUCUUUCUUUACUCCUGUGUUACAGACGCUCGAAUGAGGCCUGACUUCUACAGUACCGCACCCAGCACCACACCGCGACCGACGUAGCCUCCUGUGCUCUUUCUGUCCGGCAGCUGGAGUUGGGGUAAAGCGCCGGGUCUCUUGGAGGGCAACACUCAACGCGGUCGGCUCCUAGGCAUCCAGUGGGGCUGCAACCCCGCCGCCGGGGGCGACAGGCGAAGGUGAAAACCUAGAGCUGGGACAGCGCAGCCGGGUUUCAGCUGGUUCUAGAGUCCACGUCAGAAGACCGCGCCC